UGGGCUGGGGCUCAGCGGUAGAGUGCGUGCCUGGCACGGGUGAGGCCCUGGGUUCCAUCCCCAGCACCCCAU
rnacentral:tRNA from 1 species